GCAAACUUGGUCAUUUAGAGGAAGUAAAAGUCGUAACAAGGUUUCCGUAGGUGAACCUGCGGAAGGAUCAUUAUUGAAAAAGCUUAGGGGUACUGUUGCUGGCCUUAUUGGCAUGUGCACGUAUCUUUAAUCCUUAUCAUCCACCUGUGAACCUUUUGUAGAAGUCUUUUUCGAAGUUUUUCAGAUGCCUUAGGGUAUUCUGGUGUGGGUAUAUGCAUACUAAUGCUUUACCUGGUUGGCUACAAUUGUGGUUGACCGUUUGAAAAGGGCUUCUAUGUUUUUAUAAACCAAGUUAAGCAUGUUUAGAAUGUUGUUUAUUGGGACUUGAUUGACCCUUUAAAUUUUAUACAACUUUCAGCAACGGAUCUCUUGGCUCUCCCAUCGAUGAAGAACGCAGC
rnacentral:misc_RNA from 1 species